rnacentral:rRNA from 1 species
UUACGGCCAUAUUACAUUAAAAUACCGAUUCUCGUACGAUCACUGAAGUUAAGCAACGUCGAGUCUGGUCAGUUUCUAGAUGGGUGACUGCUUGGGAAUAUCAGGGGCAGUA